GGAUGUAGCUGAGAUGGUAGAGCGCUCGCUUUACAUGCAAGAGGUACCGGGAUUGAUACCCGGAUAAAUUUU
rnacentral:tRNA from 1 species